rnacentral:rRNA from 1 species
UACGUAGGGUGCAAGCGUUAAUCGGAAUUACUGGGCGUAAAGCGUGCGCAGGCGGUUAUGUAAGACAGGUGUGAAAUCCCCGGGCUUAACCCGGGAACUGCAUUUGUGACUGCAUAGCUAGAGUACGGUAGAGGGGGAUGGAAUUCCGCGUGUAGCAGUGAAAUGCGUAGAUAUGCGGAGGAACACCGAUGGCGAAGGCAAUCCCCUGGACCUGUACUGACGCUCAUGCACGAAAGCGUGGGGAGCAAACAGG